rnacentral:rRNA from 1 species
UUAAGCGACUAAGCGUACACGGUGGAUGCCCUGGCAGUCAGAGGCGAUGAAGGACGUGCUAAUCUGCGAUAAGCGUCGGUAAGGUGAUAUGAACCGUUAUAACCGGCGAUUUCCGAAUGGGGAAACCCAGUGUGAUUCGUCACACUAUCAUUAACUGAAUCCAUAGGUUAAUGAGGCGAACCGGGGGAACUGAAACAUCUAAGUACCCCGAGGAAAAGAAAUCAACCGAGAUUCCCCCAGUAGCGGCGAGCGAACGGGGAGCAGCCCAGAGCCUGAAUCAGUGUGUGUGUUAGUGGAAGCGUCUGGAAAGGCGCGCGAUACAGGGUGACAGCCCCGUACACAAAAAUGCACAUGCUGUGAGCUCGAUGAGUAGGGCGGGACACGUGGUAUCCUGUCUGAAUAUGGGGGGACCAUCCUCCAAGGCUAAAUACUCCUGACUGACCGAUAGUGAACCAGUACCGUGAGGGAAAGGCGAAAAGAACCCCGGCGAGGGGAGUGAAAAAGAACCUGAAACCGUGUACGUACAAGCAGUGGGAGCACAGAGCAAUCUGUGUGACUGCGUACCUUUUGUAUAAUGGGUCAGCGACUUAUAUUCUGUAGCAAGGUUAACCGAAUAGGGGAGCCGAAGGGAAACCGAGUCUUAACUGGGCGUUAAGUUGCAGGGUAUAGACCCGAAACCCGGUGAUCUAGCCAUGGGCAGGUUGAAGGUUGGGUAACACUAACUGGAGGACCGAACCGACUAAUGUUGAAAAAUUAGCGGAUGACUUGUGGCUGGGGGUGAAAGGCCAAUCAAACCGGGAGAUAGCUGGUUCUCCCCGAAAGCUAUUUAGGUAGCGCCUCGUGAAUUCAUCUCCGGGGGUAGAGCACUGUUUCGGCAAGGGGGUCAUCCCGACUUACCAACCCGAUGCAAACUGCGAAUACCGGAGAAUGUUAUCACGGGAGACACACGGCGGGUGCUAACGUCCGUCGUGAAGAGGGAAACAACCCAGACCGCCAGCUAAGGUCCCAAAGUCAUGGUUAAGUGGGAAACGAUGUGGGAAGGCCCAGACAGCCAGGAUGUUGGCUUAGAAGCAGCCAUCAUUUAAAGAAAGCGUAAUAGCUCACUGGUCGAGUCGGCCUGCGCGGAAGAUGUAACGGGGCUAAACCAUGCACCGAAGCUGCGGCAGCGACACUGUGUGUUGUUGGGUAGGGGAGCGUUCUGUAAGCCUGCGAAGGUGUGCUGUGAGGCAUGCUGGAGGUAUCAGAAGUGCGAAUGCUGACAUAAGUAACGAUAAAGCGGGUGAAAAGCCCGCUCGCCGGAAGACCAAGGGUUCCUGUCCAACGUUAAUCGGGGCAGGGUGAGUCGACCCCUAAGGCGAGGCCGAAAGGCGUAGUCGAUGGGAAACAGGUUAAUAUUCCUGUACUUGGUGUUACUGCGAAGGGGGGACGGAGAAGGCUAUGUUGGCCGGGCGACGGUUGUCCCGGUUUAAGCGUGUAGGCUGGUUUUCCAGGCAAAUCCGGAAAAUCAAGGCAGGCGUGAUGACGAGGCACUACGGUGCUGAAGCAACAAAUGCCCUGCUUCCAGGAAAAAGCCUCUAAGCAUCAGGUAACAUCAAAUCGUACCCCAAACCGACACAGGUGGUCAGGUAGAGAAUACCAAGGCGCUUGAGAGAACUCGGGUGAAGGAACUAGGCAAAAUGGUGCCGUAACUUCGGGAGAAGGCACGCUGAUAUGUAGAUGAAGUCCCUCGCGGAUGGAGCUGAUAUCAGUCGAAGAUACCAGCUGGCUGCAACUGUUUAUUAAAAACACAGCACUGUGCAAACACGAAAGUGGACGUAUACGGUGUGACGCCUGCCCGGUGCCGGAAGGUUAAUUGAUGGGGUCAGCGCAAGCGAAGCUCUUGAUCGAAGCCCCGGUAAACGGCGGCCGUAACUAUAACGGUCCUAAGGUAGCGAAAUUCCUUGUCGGGUAAGUUCCGACCUGCACGAAUGGCGUAAUGAUGGCCAGGCUGUCUCCACCCGAGACUCAGUGAAAUUGAACUCGCUGUGAAGAUGCAGUGUACCCGCGGCAAGACGGAAAGACCCCGUGAACCUUUACUAUAGCUUGACACUGAACAUUGAGCCUUGAUGUGUAGGAUAGGUGGGAGGCUUUGAAGUGUGGACGCCAGUCUGCAUGGAGCCGACCUUGAAAUACCACCCUUUAAUGUUUGAUGUUCUAACGU